UUAAAGUUGGCUUUUGAAAGCAUCGUUGUUUUACCCUUCUUCAUCAACACCAUGAAAAGUGAACUGGAACUUGUGGUCUGCGUGAUUUGUUGAACUAGAAGACCAUGGAAAAAUGGCGGAGAUAUUCCCAAGUCACUUCUGAUUGUGCUGAGAGCUCAACAGUGCCAAACUUUGACAAAUUGACAUUCGCCAGUUGGCCUCAUUAAAUUCCAUUGCUGUCUGCCUAAUAAUGUCAGUGACCAAGAUUGCAGAUGGUCUCCUUGAUAUCCAGGAAGUAGCUUCCGGUUUUGACCAUCGAGAGGAACUGGACAACUGUGUUGAAACUCCACUGGCGUUGGGACAGGAUUCCUCUGUCUGAUGCAGCUGAAAGUCUUCUCCAGGCAAUCCUCGGACAAGCUACUGUUGAGAAUGCACUUCUGUACCUGGCUUACUUCCAGGAUUAAUGUUGCAGCAGUCACCACUACGUUUUGAACUGGUAUCCAGCUGCCCUUGUGACCAAUCUUCAGGCCACGAAAAAGAUGGAAGGUGUCCCAAUGCAAGUUUGUGGCUUUCUCUAACUCAUUCUCUUUCAAUCUGCUUAGGGCAAUUACGACAAGGUCGAACCGGUGGUCUACUUCCUCAAGGAACCAUGAUGUUUUCAGGGAGGACUGUGACCGUUUCUCCUCCUCAACCAGGUUUUUCAGGACAGCACUGGUCACUCUACUAAAGACGUGCAUGGCAGGUUGGACACUGAAAUGGGAGACCAAGGAUGCUGAGGACGAGAAAGGUGUACAGUAAGAUGAACAGCCUUCAGCUUCAACACCUCCCCUAACAUUCCUGGCUC